AACCCCAGAGUCGGCCACGACUGGACCUAACGGUCAGGGGUCCCUUUACCUUUACCUUUUCCCUCUGCUAGGCUUAGGCCAGCUCAGCCGGCAAUAGUUCUGCUCCCGAGUUUCAAUCUGGUAUAACUCAACCCCAUCUUAACUGGAUUAUGAGUCAAUAAUAUUGUUCUUAAUGGUUUUUAUAUGCCCACAUAAGUCUUAGAGAAGACUUGCACAACCUGUGGUCCACCUAGUGGCCUGGAACUAGCCCCAUGCAGCUCAUCACCACCUUAUAUCUUGUGCUGAGGUCCUAAAAUACACACUACACAACGCAUGGCUAAAGAGCUGCGUUUGGCUUGGAAAGUAGGUAAUAUAGAUUGUGGCAAUCUAUAGGCAACACUCUGCUUCAUUAGAACAAGAAUUGACUGAACAUGGGAAGGAUAUACAUUGGUUCAGGUAUAGUGGAAGAUAAGUCAAAUUUGCAAGGUAAGAUUUCAAGCCAGCUAUUACACACACUAAUAUUGUAAAGAACUGGAUAUGAACCACACAUUUGUCAGUCUUUCAUAAACAACAACUCCUUCAGUUUUCUGCGUCCUGCAACAAUCUGGCUUUGGACUUAAAAUUCUGCAUCUGAUAAGGAGUCUUUUUAUAACCAAGCUGUUUAAGCCAUUGUCCUUCUGCAUGCUCAAACUGCUUUUUGAACUGUGUAUAUAAUUUUGCCAGAUGUUUUCUGUUUUCAGAAAUGUGUGACAAAUAGAUAUGACUGGCUGGACAUCACAAACCUUCAGGCUAAUCAUUCACAGCAAGGAUGACCAACUGGUGGCUCAGAGAACUGAUCCUCUCCUCCUAGGCAAAUGUAUCUGGAUCCAGUCACCCUAUCAAAUCUUAACCAAGGUAUAGGGAAAGCCCUAAGCACAGUUUCAAUCAUGAAUUGGAGGGACAGGGAGGCAUUUUCAAGUUGGAGGGAUAGAGAUGUUCCACAUUUCAUUUCUUUAGGAUUUCCCCCCCCAUUCAGUUUAUGUGUGUAUGUCUCACAUACGUCCUAUAACUGCACAUAUGUAUAUUAAGCUGUGUGCAGGUGCUCCAUAACAUGAUCAUCAGUUGUGCAGCCAAGCACACUUGUGGCUCCAAGUCCAGUUGUAGGUGAAUAGGGUGGCUACAGUGAAGAAUUUGGCCCUCCCUGAUACAAGUUUCCUCUUCUGUCACGGUAGGUAUUUCCAGCCUAAUGACUCUUCCUCUCCCUCUUUGAGGCCAGUAUCAGAGAGGUCUCCAGAACUGCAAAAACAUUGUCAAACCUGACAGCCAAACAGAUCAGUUCAGACUGAAGUAAUCUCACCUUCCAAGUUUAGCAAGAAAAGCUUGUGCUGUUUAUUUUUCUAUGAAUAAACACUUGUCAUCCUCGCCCCCAUUUGUCAAUCCAGCACUUCUUUCUAAAUACUAAAUUCCAUUUUGCAAAUGGGUAAAGCCCCUAGUAUGACAGGAUAUGCAUUUCCUUUUAUUGAGGGGGAAAAUAGGUAGUUCAUUCAGCGGAAACAAUUUGAAAACAUGUUUUUAAAUUACUUGCUAGAAUACAUGUCUUCUUGCAGGAGAUUACUCUGGCUCACGCCCCAGGAAACAGAAUUCUCAAACACCAUAAACUUAAGAAUUGAAGGGGGUGAUCCAGACCACCACUCUCAGGGCGACAUGUGAUUCUCCACUCUCUUUGGGUCCUGUCUCCCAUCAACUGUGGCAGAAGGAGGCAGGAAGACACAGACAGCACAGACCUCAUUACACCAUGAACUUUUGUUCAUUGUUUCGUUUGUUUUGCUUCCCCCUGGCUGAUCCUGAAGCAGUGGCUCAUUACUCACUAAGGUAAGAUUUGUCCAAACUGCCCGAAAUGUGGCUUGUACUUUCUCCAUGUUGAGUCCCAUACUCUGACUAAUAUCAGGCAGAUGCAUUGUAAAUGGCAAGAUAUAGAUUUAAAUAUAUAGUUUUUCUUCUUGGAGAGAUUUCUGCUGUUUGUUCUUUCCCUAUACUGUAACAGACAUAGCCCUCUUGAAGAUAUAGGGGUCUUGCUUUUCUUUUUGUAAAAAUCUAUUUAAUCUUUGGAAAUGCAUUAGAUUUUAAUUUGCCCACUUAGGUAAAUAUUAAGUGUAAGUUAUUUUGCAAUGUGUACGGUAAUCAGUACCCCUUUUACUCUUUCAGGUGGAGCCUUUUCACUAGACAAAAUGGCUGCUUCCAGGAUGAGGACAAAACUGCUACUCAGCAAAUGGUUUCAGUAGAGACCUUGGCUGUACAUACAUUACCAUCUUAAAAGGCAGCAUUUCAUUUUUUCUCACUGCUUUUCAAGUCAAAUAUGCCUGGUGCACAAAGGUAAAUAUGUACAGUAUUGAAGUCCAUACCGGUGGGCAGAGAGUAGACAGUGAUGUCUUCACCUGAGGCAAUUGUCUGGUUAGUUUCUCCAUCCUGUCUCUGCCCCCAGAAAUCCAGAAUAUCCUGGGAUUCAAUGCACCUUGAAUAUGGGUAUUAUGCCCAAGUUGGACAGGAUAGCUCUGGAUACAGCCCUUGCCUUUCUCCCCCAGGGCUCACUGAAAUCAAUAAAGAAAUCUAAGCUAUUCCUGGAGCAAUGAUUGGGCACAAGCCUAUCCACACACAAAAUACAGGAGCAAAGAGAGGAGGCUCUUUCUAACUAGGUUCUUAUUUUGUGUGGAAGUUUCCACACCAAAGAAUACAUAAUACCUAAAAAUAUAAAUGUAUCAUUUAUAUAAAGUUCUAAAACCAACCUUAAAGCAAUAUAUAUAGCACUACACUUCAGAACACAAAACUGGGCCAGAGUUUCCAUCUCCCAAUGGCCCAAAUGAAUAAAAAUGCCUUAAGCUGGUGUUGGAAGGUGAUCAAUGAGAUGUUUGCACAACAUACGAUGAGAGUGAAGUUGUUUUGAUGCUGAGUGUCUUUCCAGGCAACGUCUGCAUAUGCUUUGUGAAAUUCCCCUGUAUUCACCAGGAACAAGUUUUAUAUGCUCAGAGGCCCUAAUGAAAAAGCUCUAUUGCUCUCAGCAGACAUUUAGUGCUUCAAACACUUUGAAAGAUUGAUUCUUAGUGCUAAGUAUUAGCAUAAUUUUGCUCAUAGAAUUUUUGUACCUUUCACCUCCCUUUUGAGUGCUAAAUUUGAAACGUAUGUCUUAUUUUUUCUUCAGAUAUAAUGGACUGUUGUGGCUUGAGGACUCCCCCCAGUUUGUGUUGGAUAUGAGUGUUUGAAGACAUUGGUUCGGCCGCUUGUGAAAUACAGUCUCCUUCCUUAACAUUUAGUUUCCCCCACUGCAUAUAAAAGUCACUGAAAUUAAAUGUAUUUGAUGCUUCAUCAUGACCAGUUUCUAUUGCAAAGGCUUUGUUAGGUGACAUUUAUAACUUACAUGUAUUAGGCAGUGAUACAAUUCAAGUGUGUGUUCAGUUCAUUCCCAGCAAAGUAUUGAGGAAAGGAUGAGGAAACAGAGAGCUGGAGCUUGGAAUUAUCACUUGUAGAAGUAAAAGCUAAAAGAGGUGAACAGAGCCUUUUCCGGGUUUCCUCACUAAGGAAGGAAGCUGGUGGGGAGGGGUGCACACAAGAGCAUUUAAUGCCAAUCUAGGUUUUUAAAUUUUUUAUUUAUUACUAAUAUUUAAAUUUAGUAUUUAAUUUAAUUUAGACCACUACAGUGGUGCCUCGGGUUACAAACACCUCGGGUUACAAACACUUUGUGUUACAGACUUCGCUAACCCGGAACGAGUACCUCAGGUUAAGAACUUUGCCCCAGGAUGAGAACAGAAAUCAUGCAGCAGCAGCGGGAGGCCCCAUUAGCUAAAGUGGUACCUCAGGUUAAGAACAGUUUCAGGUUAAGAAUGGACCUCCGGAACAAAUUAAGUUCAUAACCAGAGGUAUCACUGUACAAUAUAUUUGUGAAUGGGGGGGGGGGGGAAUCAGGCAAGUUUGCAUAUUAUGCAAAAGCACUCUUUAUAAGAAUCACAUGGCUUUCAGCAUAAAACCUGCAGUACUAAAAAAAAUCCCUAUUAAAGGAAAUGAAAGUCAACCUGUGUGCCCAUCUAUGUUCCUCAGCCCUGAGUGCUCACUGGAAGGACAGAUCGUGAAGCUGAGGCUCCAAUACUUUGGCCACCUCAUGAGAAGAGAAGACUCCCUGGAAAAGACCCUGAUGUUGGGAAAGAUGGAGGGCACAAGGAGAAGGGGAUGACAGGACGAGAUGGUUGGAUAGUGUACCAGCAUGAGUUUGACCAAACUGCGGGAGGCAGUGGAAGACAGAAGUGCCUGGCGUGCUCUGGUCCAGGGGGUCACAAAGAGUCGGACAUGACUAAAGGACUAAACAACAACAAUGUUCCCCAGCUCUCCAUAGCAAAUGCAAAUAAAAUGAUUUAAAUGUAUUGUAAGGUGCAAUAUGCAAAUGUGACACUAGAUGGUGGCAGUGAGCUAUGCAAAAUUCAAUGCAUUUUUCAAAAUGUUUUUUUUUUUAAAAAAAAGCAUUUUCACUGUGUUUUUUAUAUGUGUGUAGAUUCCACCUAAGUCUCACCAGCUCAAAGUUACUGCCUUUGCAGAAUCAGCAGAAAUUUUUAAAGAAGAAGAGGCUGAUGGUUGGCAGUGGGCAAAAACUACCAAUCUUCAGGCAGUUUACUUCCCCCCAAAUACCCCAAACCAGGAGCUUUUAUAGCAGCUAGACAAAGUCCAGCUGGCCUCAUGGACCAUCUUCUCCACUGAAAUCAGCAUCCUUCUGGUAAACAAUUCCAUGUAUGAGGAUUGCAGCAUGCAUUAAAUGUUCAUAAAAGAGACUAUAGCAUGACUUAAUCAUAUACACUGACUGCAAUAUUGUGUCCAUGUUACCUAACCUUAUGACCUAUAAUAACUCAUGUAGUUAUAAAAAUAUGUAUAUUCCACUAUUCGUUUUUUUAAAAAAACAGAAUGGUUUGCAACAAUUGCAAAGGAACUGCCCACUAACUUUUAGGAGACCCUAACAUGCAUAUGCCAUGUUAAGUAGUGUACACUUAAUAAUUAACUGUCACCCUUCCCUAUAUUUAGGUUGUUCAAGGGAAACUGUCUGAUUGCCACCUCUCUCAGAGCAUC